UUGUGAUGAAACUAAACUGAAAAUAGCUGGAAUUACCGGCAGAUGUUCAGUGGUGACUCUUGGUUUUCUGAAC
rnacentral:snoRNA from 1 species